rnacentral:rRNA from 1 species
AUUGAACGCUGGCGGUAGGCCUAACACAUGCAAGUCGAACGCGAAAGUCCUUCGGGAUGAGUAGAGUGGCGGACGGGUGAGUAACGCGUAGGAAUCUAUCCUGUAGUGGGGGAUAACGUUUCGAAAGGAACGCUAAUACCGCAUACGCCCCAAGGGGGAAAGCGGGGGAUCUUCGGACCUCGUGCUAUAGGAGGAGCCUGCGUCGGAUUAGCUAGUUGGUGAGGUAAAGGCUCACCAAGGCGACGAUCCGUAGCUGGUCUGAGAGGAUGAUCAGCCACACCGGAACUGAGACACGGUCCGGACUCCUACGGGAGGCAGCAGUGGGGGAAUAUUGCGCAAUGGGCGAAAGCCUGACGCAGCCAUACCGCGUGUGUGAAGAAGGCCUUCGGGUU